rnacentral:rRNA from 1 species
GAUGAACGCUAGCUACAGGCUUAACACAUGCAAGUCGAGGGGCAGCAUGAACUUAGCUUGCUAAGUUUGAUGGCGACCGGCGCACGGGUGAGUAACACGUAUCCAACCUGCCGAUGACUCGGGGAUAGCCUUUCGAAAGAAAGAUUAAUACCCGAUGGCAUAGUUCUUCCGCAUGGUAGAACUAUUAAAGGAUUUCGGUCAUCGAUGGGGAUGCGUUCCAUUAGGUUGUUGGCGGGGUAACGGCCCACCAAGCCUUCGAUGGAUAGGGGUUCUGAGAGGAAGGUCCCCCACAUUGGAACUGAGACACGGUCCAAACUCCUACGGGAGGCAGCAGUGAGGAAUAUUGGUCAGUGGUCGGCAGACUGAACCAGCCAAGUCGCGUGAGGGAAGACGGCCCUACGGGUUGUAAACCUCUUUUGUCGGAGAGUAAAGUACGCUACGUGUAGUGUAUUGCAAGUAUCCGAAGAAAAAGCAUCGGCUAACUCCGUG